ensembl:ncRNA R08E3.11 ncRNA
AUGUAGAAGAAGAAACUGUCGAUGGCAGCAGCAGCGGCAGUGGCGGCAGGCAGCAACGGGCAUCAUCUCUAUCUGUCGCCCGGGGGCGCAAGAUGUAAAGAAAAAAUCGAGCUGCGCGCACCUCAUCAGAAAAACGCAGCGCCCACCCCCACACACACACACACACUCACACCGUUUCGUUCGGAAGAAAGAGAAUGAAAAAAUUGGAGAGAAGGCACUGGGGGAGAGGGGAUGCCGUUGCGGGUGGCCUAGAAGGUCGGCAAGGUUAAAGUGAAGACGACGGGAUCUUUUCAGACCAUACUAGCUGCAGCAGGGAGACUUCCUCCCUCUCCGCACUAUGUCUCCUCCUUACGAUGGAGAAAAAAACCCGGUUUUUUGUGGCAGUGAGAAGAGCGUCUGGAACAUAGUAAUGACCUUCCAAUAGAUAAGGCAUGUGGAAUUACAAUUGGAUGAACAUUUGGGAAAACGUCAAA